rnacentral:misc_RNA from 1 species
UGGCUCUCGCAUCGAUGAAGAACGCAGCGAAAUGCGAUAAGUAAUGUGAAUUGCAGAAUUCAGUGAAUCAUCGAAUCUUUGAACGCAUCUUGCGCUCCUUGGUAUUCCGAGGAGCAUGCCUGUUUGAGUGUCAUUAAAUUCUCACCUUUUGCUGGCUUUGCUUUUAUAAGGCUUGACACAAAAGUGUGGAUGUGGAGGAUUAUCUUUGCAGGUUCUUUUGAGAGCCAGCUCCUCUGAAAAGCAUUAGUAGCGCCCUCUGGUGGCUGACUUUUGGCAUGAUAACUAUCACUGUCAUCAGUUGCCACACAUGUAUGUUGGCAAUGCUGCUUAUAACUGUCUAAAUAGACAAGUAAAUGACAAAUUUGGCCUCAAAUCAGGUAGGACUACCCGCUGA